AUUGAACGCUGGCGGCAGGCCUAAUACAUGCAAGUCGAACGAGUGGCGGACGGGCGAGUAAUGUCUGGGAAAUUGCUUGAAGGAGGGGGAUAAUUACUGGAAACGGUAGUCAAUACCGCAUACCAUCGGAUGUGCCCUGAUGGGAUUAGUCAGUAGGUGGGGUAAAGGCUCACCUAGGCGACGAUCCCUAGCUGGUCUGAGAGGAUGACCGGCCACACUGGAACUGAGACACGGUCCAGACUCCUACGGGAGGCAGCAGUAGGGAAUAUUGCACAAUGGGCGCAAGCCUGAUGCAGCCAUGCCGCGUGUGUGAAGAAGGCCUUCGGGUUGUAAAGCACUUUCAGCGAGGAGGCGGUACUCACAGAGAAAGCACCGGCUAACUCCGUGCCAGCAGCCGCGGUAAUAC
rnacentral:rRNA from 1 species